rnacentral:lncRNA from 1 species
CUUCUGGUUCAUCUUCUCCGAUGGCUUUCACCAUCUCGCCGGCUACCUCCAGCCUCACCCCCUUCAACCACCAGCAGCCUUGAAGCCUUAUCUCACCGGUUCCUUUCAUUCCUGAUACUCCGUGGGUCUUCAACAUGCAAGACGGUCACUGAAGCUUUGCUGGGAUUUGUUUCCGGCCUUUCUCCGAUGGAUUUUGGUCUGAUGGUGCUGUAAACACCAUUAUCCUUAAGUUUCACAGCCAGGUUUCUCUUGCUUCUCUCACUGGUUUCUUAUGAAACCCUAAUCUCAACCCAAACCUCUUAGAUCUUUGAUUUUUUUAAUGAUUUUAACUCAUACAUUUAUAUUUUUCACUAUUUUCUACUUGAUCUUUAUGAUUACUCCAGUUUUAAACGUUUUUGUUCCCUUUUUGAAACUAGGGUUUCUGAACCCCUUCUCGAAAUCACUUUAUUUUCUGAUUUUGAGUACCAAUCUACGAUUCUCAGUACUAUUCCUAAAUAUUUUUCUUAAGUCUGAUAAAACCUUAGCUUUAAUUGUUUGUAUUAUUUGCUUGUUUGUGUGUUCUUGU